AGCCGGGCCGCCGAGGUCAGGAUGGGGGCCAGGCGAGGGGCCAGGGAGGCCAAGGGCGUCGUCAGCACCAGGAGGCCCGACCGGAAUACGGCCAUGCUGCCCAGGCCUGCGGACAGCCAGGGAGACGAGGCGUUCCGCGAGUGCCGCCGCGGAGGCUCACCUGGAUGCGACCCGGAAAUACUAGCUCAGCAGCUCCGUGUCCGAGCUACGGAACGGCAGAAAGGCCAAAGUGUCUGCUCUGUUCGGGAUCUCGCGAGACUUUAAAUGGGAGUCACAGGGUGGCACUGAAUUCAGGACUCAGAGCCCCCGCAGCCCUCCUGGCGCCCUCCCAGUCUGAGGAUCCUCCUGUGGAAGGACCACUCUGUCCGAGUCCCCAUUUCACAGCUGGAGAAAUUGAAGCCGUCUGUGUUCCAGGAACAUUAUAAGGAAGGUCUUGUGGCUCCGAAGCUCUCCACACCACCCCGAACCAGUUUGAGAGAGAGAGGAGGAGAGCUCUGCCUGGCAGCUCAUAGGGUUGCCAGAGGAUGGUCUCCAGACGGGAGAAAAGGGGAGGACGGAGGGAGACCUAGUGGCAAGGGUUUACUGUGAAGCUAAUGGGGCCCGAAAGGUUGGAACUGGUAGCCUCCAUGGGGAGAGGAAGCUAGGAUGCUAUCAGGAGAUAUUUCAGAUAAAGUGUCCAUAAAGAUCUCAAAAGGGAGGGAAACCAGUUUCCAAGAUUCCUGUAAUGUGCUAUCGUUUAUUUUCCCAAACUAAACAAUGCUUGUUUUCAUAAUUAUGUAGGUUCAUUUUGUAUUUUUUUAAAAAGACUUUAGGGGCACCUGGGUGGCUCAGUGGGUUAAGCCUCUGCCUUUGGCUCAGGUCAUGAUCUCAGGGUCCUGGGAUUGAGCCUCACAUCGGGCUCUCUGCUCAGCGAGGAGCCUGCUUUCCUCCUCUCUUUCUGCCUGCCUCUCUGCCUACCUGUGAUCUCUUG